CAUUAUAUAACACGGGACUCAUUUUUCUGCAAAAGUGUGAAGUUUAAACUAGAGAGAUAAAUGUGAAAAAGUUCAUAAAGUGUGUAGUGAGGGUUUUACAGCUUUAAACUCCAAGUCUAAUCAUCUUUGGAUUUAUUAAAAGUGUUCCCAGUUGUAUUUCAGUCAUAAUUAUUCAGUUUUUAGGUCAAAUCAAUAAUAUUGAACCGCAGAGUAGCAAGAGUUCAUCAGAAAUUUGCCGGGUCUGUUAGCGGGUAGUAAGCCUGAGCUCAUUUCCCAUCAUCCCUUUAGUGCUAGCUUAUAGCCCCUCUCAAACUCAAGCUAACAUCAGCUGGGAGCAUUUUUUGGGCUAUCCAGCCAUACAGUUUGAGGCAGCAAAGCAGGGAGCUUGUGGACUGCCGAUUGUAGUUUUUACAUAGCAACAACAUUCUUUUUCAAAUGGCAUUUUUGUCGUCUGCUCCCAAUUCUCCACAAUUUGACUGAAAAAAUACACAGAAUCUCAAUUCUCUUUAUACAUGUCCCCUAUCUUGAGAAAAAAGGCUACAAGAACAUGUUAAAAAUGCUAAAAAAAAAUAAUAUCUGUAAUAUUUCACCAACGGUGAGUUAUUUGUGGAACGUAUCCCACAAGGCAACACUAGGACUCAUUCCACAUCAUUUUCAAGUUAGUCAGCAUCACGUUUGGUUUUGAAGAAUCCCAAUAGUAAUUGAUCAAUACCAAAUAUUUGGAUUGUUUUUGCACAUUUUACAUCACAAUGCCCUCAGCAGGUUAUCUAUUUGUUUUAUUUUUGCUCUGUGAUCCAUCAGAUUAUUCAUCUCCAGUCACACUGUUACUGAAGAGCACCAGGGAUCAUGUGCGAGUAAACUAAGAGCUUACUUGUUUGCAAUUUCUUAACAAAAAAAAAAGAGAAAAUAUAUUGUUGGGCUAUAAGGAUAUAUCCACAUCUCUUGUUGCAUCCAUACCACUGCUUUCCCCAUAAGGGUUACCAAUCUAUAAAGUCAUUUAAAUGUCAAACUGUUUAUUUUAAGUAAUUGUCAAAUAUGUUGGUUUAGUGUUUUUGUUUCAGUGAAAGAACUUAGAGUUUCUUGAAAACUCACUGUUCUCGCUUCAUCAGAAGUCGCUGGCAGUGAAACUUUCACAAGUGAAACUCACAUACUGAUGACAGUUGUGUCAUCCCUACAAUUAAAAAAAACGUUUAAAAGAUUGUAUCAUCAGCACAUUGCUGAAAAGGUAAACCAGGGCUGCGCCCAGAAUAUGAGAUCUUCAAAUAUUUGUUUUUGUCUUUAAACAAAUAAUUCUAGUCUACAUACAGAUAAAACUUCUAAUUAUUAAAGCCUACAGGAAACACUGCAGUAGUAUAGUUUUGAUCUAAAAUGAAAUUCCUUGAAGAGUUUUCUAAAGUUUAUAGUUUUUUGUUCAUAAAUGAAAUCAAUUGCCUUGCUGCCGCUAUGCCUGAAAGUUAGACGGCAAUAAUUGAGGAAUUGAUGAUGGCAAAAACUCGAAUCUUAAUAGAAAGUCACAACUGUGUUUUCCCGUUCUCGGGCAAUACCACUGAAACCAUGUGAUCUUUAAAGAUAUCGAUGAUGCCACCACUGCCCACCACCCGAGAUCAAGAUUUGCCUCGUCACGGCUUGAGUAACCCUUCCAAAAAUACCACAGGUAGUUUUCAAAACUCAUUUGUGGUCAUGCAACCUUUUAAGAUAUGGUAAUCUACAAAUAAAUUAAACAAUGUGGUUCAUAGUUGUGUGUGCUACAAAAAAGAAAGAAACUUUUCACUGAGGUGACAAAAAAAAAAAAAAAAUGCAGUAUGGUUGUGUGUUAGAGUUCAUUCAACUCUUCAAGAAUUCACUUCCUUUUCUCAAAGAUCACACUUUUUUUAGACAUUUCUUUCAUUAAAUGCACAAAAACCUAAAAAUCUUUAUUAAUGGGAAAAAGUUUGUUUGAAAUAAAAAUGUUUUUAAUAAUGCAGCUGGAAAAAGAAAUCAUUUUAAAAAUUAAAAAAUAAUUUUUACCAGAAAUGUAUUUAUUUAUUUAGAGGUAUCAUGGACACAGUCAUGUUAUAGAUAACUUAUCACAACCAUGAUUAUUUUUUUUUGGCCUUUUUCCAGUCUGAGCAUUUAGUUUCCUAAUUUUAUCCAAAUUAAUGAUGUCAUGUCAAUUAAAAAAUCUCCCCUUCCUGAGAGGCGUGAAAAAAUCUUAAGGGUUUCCAUCAAGUGACGCAAAGCUUCCUUGUUCUCACUUCUGUAUAUAAAGAGUAAGAAAAGAUAGUGAUCACAGCAGUGAAGAUAACUAAAGGAAGUUGUAGAGGAAGAGAGACCUGCAGAGAGAUGAAGCGAACACUGGUCCUAGUCCUGUUUUUCGUCUGUUACAGCGUCGAAGCAGACUUUAACCUGAACUCGGAGAUCAUAAAGGGCCUGAAAACAUUCAAUAUCAAUGCCACGUUUCCAGAUGUAAGUAUAAAUUAUUACUAUUUUAUCAUUUAUUUCUUACAUUAAGAACAAUAUUUUAAUAUUUUUUGUACUAAUGCAAUAUAAAAUAAAAAAAUGAAUUUACUCGAUUUUUUUUUUUUUUUUCAGAACUUCACUGUGCGUGUUCCCUCAUUUCGCAGAGUUGAAUGCGAGGGUAACUUCAGCAGAGAGCUGAUGAAUAUUCUCGACCACCUAAUAGUACAAGGAGAUACAACAAAACUGGAUAAACUCAAGAUGAAUGUGAAGAAAUGGGUGGAAAAUGGCCAACAGGUGAGUAAUAACUUAUGGAUCAAAGACAGGAUAGAAAAUGUCUACGACUGCCUCAUCAAUCCAACCUCAACUCUUUUGUUUUGCUCUUCCAGGCUCCCCAAACAUGUCCAAUGAACGAAACCAAAUUCAGAAAAGUCAGCUAUGUCUUUACUAGAUACAAACAGUUCAUCUCACGUCUGAACAGCACUAAAACUACAAAACAGCCGAGUGUCAACUGAAAUGUGAAUGUAUUAGCUCAAUGUUCUGCUGCACCUAAUGUGAACGUCCA